GAAGAGCAGAAUACAUAAAAACAUCACUUGUAUGGAAUUUUUUUAACACAAAAAGGAAAUAAAUGUAGCUAUUUGUAACACUUGUCAACUCUGUUCAAAGGCGGAGGGGAAGGCAGGACAGGGACACUUGAACAACCAUAACAAACAGGUGUGGAUAGAAACUAGGGCGGAGGCCAUCCUUCGCACGGUCCUGCUAAUCCUACUGUGUCUAGCAGUUCUAAAUUUAUCCAACAACAAAUAAACCUUAAGAUGGGAGGUUUACAUUUGUCUAACAGAUUCAAAGAUCAUAAUGAAUCACUUCUUCCGG
rnacentral:lncRNA from 1 species